CAGUCGCCACGGGAAUACAGAGGGUGCGAGCGUUAAUCGGAUUUACUGGGCGUAAAGCGUGCGUAGGCGGCUAAUUGAGUCGGAUGUGAAAUCCCCGAGCUUAACUUGGGAAUUGCAUUCGAUACUGGUUAGCUAGAGUGUGGGAGAGGAUGGUAGAAUUCCAGGUGUAGCGGUGAAAUGCGUAGAGAUCUGGAGGAAUACCGAUGGCGAAGGCAGCCAUCUGGCCUAAUACUGACGCUGAGGUACGAAAGCAUGGGGAGCAAACAGGAUUAGAUACCCCAGUAGUCCCUGUCUCUUAUAC
rnacentral:rRNA from 1 species